GUUGCCCCCUGGAAGCUUGAGGAUGCGCCAGGUUUGACUCUGCAGGGCGUACGCGCUUUAGGGAUGGAAGGAAGAGGAACGCGGCAGGAAGGCGAGCCCCAAGUGUGAGCGUCUGGAGUCCUGACCGCCCCAGCCAGCCCAGCUACGAUGAACUGUCUAAGAGGAUGUGGCAAGACCCAGAAGUAUGGGUGACCUUAUGUCAGAGGAAGUGGCUUUCUUAUUGCAGCAAAAAUUCCCGUACCAAUGUCAGUGCUAGGUAUGAAAGUUUUCAAGACGCCUACAAGUGGAAAAUGCACUCCUCCCAGCCAAAUCAAGCUUCGCCAGAUUCCUUACAGCUGUGUGCAGUGAAAUGACUAAUGAAAGAGCCCUCUGCUGCUGGUGGAACUUUCACAUAUGGCACUGUUAUGCCACUCAGCAGGACCCGACCCUGGUAUUUACAUAUUGGAUGUCACCCCAAAAGCCCCUGACCAGGGGGUUUCCGGGAUGUAAUAAGAAUGCCACUCUGGGCUUUGGAAGGUGCACCGUAUGCACACCCAUACUAUAGGGCAGGGGUUAGCAUUUCAGACCCCUGUUCCUCCCUUGACAAGCAAGUGCUUUUCUCCAGGGAAGACGUUCAGGUUCAUUCAUAGAUCCAUUGGUGCCGUGGGCAGCUCAGUAACAAUAGCUCUGCUGCCUACCAGCUGCUGGUGGAGGUGUUGAGAAUACCUAAUGAGGAAGUCAGGGCCCCUGCGUGCUUCAGCAGAGCUGGAUGCCUGGCAUGGCAAUCAAUGGACACAAACCUUUGGAUAAUUUCCGUCCUUGGCGGUGUGUUCUAUAGCAUAGGUAUGAAGUGGGUGCUCUGGGAGCUCAGAAGAGGGGCUCUUCUCUUAACUUAUGGGUGGCCAGGGAAGGCUUCCUGGAGCUCAAAUGACUGAGUGGAGUCUUCAACAUUAAAAAAAAAAAAAAGAAAAAAAAAGUGCUUCCCUCCCACCCCCAGUUAAAAAGGUAAUACACCUCAUUGAAAUAAUUUAAACUUUACAGAAAUGUGUUCCUUUAAAGUUCAGAGAGUAAAGAGGAAGUAAUAAAGCUGAAAUAGUAGAAUUUCUAA
rnacentral:lncRNA from 1 species